UUUGAACGCUGGCGGCAUGCCUUACACAUGCAAGUCGAACGGCAGCAUGAUCUAGCUUGCUAGAUUGAUGGCGAGUGGCGAACGGGUGAGUAAUACAUCGGAACGUGCCCUGUAGUGGGGGAUAACUAGUCGAAAGAUUAGCUAAUACCGCAUACGACCUGAGGGUGAAAGUGGGGGACCGCAAGGCCUCAUGCUAUAGGAGCGGCCGAUGUCUGAUUAGCUAGGUGGUGAGGUAAAGGCUCACCAAGGCGACGAUCAGUAGCUGGUCUGAGAGGACGAUCAGCCACACUGGGACUGAGACACGGCCCAGACUCCUACGGGAGGCAGCAGUGGGGAAUUUUGGACAAUGGGGGCAACCCUGAUCCAGCAAUGCCGCGUGUGUGAAGAAGGCCUUCGGGUUGUAAAGCACUUUUGUCCGGAAAGAAAUCGCACUUACUAAUAUUAGGUGUGGAUGACGGUACCGGAAGAAUAAGGACCGGCUAACUACGUGCCAGCCGCCGCGGUAAAAC
rnacentral:rRNA from 1 species